UCUCGAUUGGUCUAGUGGUUAGGAUACCUGCUUGUCAUAGGCAAUGCGCAGGUGGCCGGGGUUCGAUUCCCCGAUCGAGAG
rnacentral:tRNA from 1 species